AAGAUCCUUAAAACCGUCGAGAAGGUUGAAAUCAUCAAAGAAAAACACGCAGGCGUCAAUAUGUUUCUGCCACCUUGGGCAACAGACACCUAUCUCCUAUCACUUCACAAACAGGAGACAAAGAUGUGAACUAAUCUCCUUAUCUAAUUAUCUACAAUUUGAGAAAUAAACAUUGAUAUCAUUAAAUUUUCUUUUUAUUCCUGAAGGCUGACGAAUGUGGACAACUGCUUAAUAUACUACAAUGAACAAACUUUUGUUCAAUAUGUGAAAAACAGCAUUUGUACUGUUAUUUAGGAACAUCUUGGUAAAGAGGCUGGUGAAAACCGCCUUGAUACCGAAAAGGAUAACACACAGCGCCAUAUAGCUUCACAGACAAGGAUGACGAACAAAUUCACGUAGCUGCAGAUACUGGUAAACAUAUUGAGGAUGAUGAACGGAUAAUUAUAGCAAACAAGACAAGUAAACAAAUCGAGGAUGAUGAACGAAUUAAUGCAUCUACAGGAACUUGCGCACAGUUGGAGUUGGCCAUGGACGAAGGGGCUAUGAACUUUCACUUGCAGGAAAACAGACACGAGGAUGACAAUGAAGAGCCUUUUAAAAUUCCUGAUUCAGGACAGAGAAGGGUACACUACCGAAGAACUGGAAGACGUCACAGAACCGUCCUUGCCAGGUAGUUCUGUCAACAAUGCAAAACUGGUGCCUAAACCAAAGAAGCGCGGACUUGGAAGAAGACUGUUGACGUUUCUGGGAUGAAAUAAAACACUUGUGAAUGAACAUGAAUAUAAUGAAAUCCUUUUUAAGUUUUCUGUGUUAUAUCUAAACGCUUUGGAAAUAAUGUUCUUAAUUAGAUUAAAUAUUUUUAACUUUA